ensembl:lincRNA
AACUUUAUUCCAGCUAUCUACCUAAAGCUAGUCAUAACUGCACCAACGUAAUCCUAUUUUCAUAUUCCUGUAGCUGUAUGUGACUUAAAGACUGCUGAACGUCUUGGAUGGCAGCCAUCAAAUUAUUGCGUGUUGCUGUCUUUCAUGAGCCCUGAAUGCGUGCGCAUGUGGUGGGCAGGUUCAGAUUAGGAAGGAAAACAGGAAGAGAGCAGAAAGCAUACAAGGAAGUUCACAAAAAGAAGUAAUGAAUUUAAACAAUUAUUUUGUCCUUAUUCUUCUGGUACAUAUGGAUCUUUAUGGCUCUAGCACAGUGGAUGUGCAAAACACUGAUAUCACUUGUGAUGAUAUUAAAGAAAAUGAAAACUAUAAAUAUUCUUCUAACCUGGACAUGAAUGAUAUUUCAUUAUCUGAAGAGACCUGGGAAGUGAAUGGCAAACCUAUUGCUAUUAUUCAUUAUGAUGACACUUCACAGAUUAAUUUCACUGAUGAUGUGAUCAGUGCUGGUUCUGGGACCAUUAUCCUCUGCUGCUGUAGGAGUAUCAACUACACAGCUCUUUUUACUGAAAAAACUAAAGGCCUGCGGGAGAGGAGAAUUUACUAUAAAGCUCGUGAAGACAAUGAUCAUCAAUUUAAGAAGGAUGAAGAGUGCAAAUCCAGGAAUAGGUGGAUUAUUCUUGGUACUGUUUUUGCAUUUCUUAUUGUGAUGGUCUUGAUUGUCUUCUGGAUAAAAUGGCCCUGCAGGAAAGACCCCAAUAAGAAGCCCGUGGAGAAUGUGUAAUCAAGCCAUUACAAGCAGGCCUGGUAAAUGUAACCUCAUGCAGGACAUAGUGUCGUUUCUCUGUGCAAGAAAGCAAGGAGUCUAAUAUUUUUCCUACUUGUUAUGACUGGUCUACAUUGAUCAUUUGUUAACUAUUGAUCAUUUGUUACCAAGCACUGAAAGCAGACUUCACUUACAUAUAUUUUUAAUGGCCUGAAUGAUAUUAAAUAUAUCUCAAUUUAAUUCCAUCCGUGCAUCAUUCUGGUUUUCUAACCACUUCAUCCAAUUCAGGUGGCAGGGGCACCGGAGCCUAUCCCAGCAAUCACCAAGUGCAAGACAGGAUACACCCUGUACAGGACACCACUCCAUUGCAAGACAGACACAUAGACACAGACACAAAUAUGGACAAAUAUGGACACAUACCAGGGCCAGUUAACUGUCUUUGGCCUGUGAGAGAACCUGGAGGAAACCCAUACUGUAUGUGAAUACUAAAAGAGCAUACAAACCCCACACAUACAGUAUAAUAUCCCAGGUCUGGAAUUGAAUCCAGGACCCCAACACUGUGAGGCAGUAGGUAGGUAGGUCCCUUUUCAGGCCAUAAAAGCCUAUCGGGAAUGGGGGGGCAAAGGCCAUCAUUUUUCAUUGACCUUUGGAACUGACGUGGUCAGCAUCACGUUCCGGCCAGCCUACUACCCCCAGAAGGAUUAACCCCCAGUACUCAUUUGGAAAGCAGUAGACCUGGGAGCCAUCUGGAAGGAGCCAGAGCAAGCUACAUCACUUGCCCCUACUUGGGAUUGAACCCUGGACCUUCCAGUCUGGAGCUAGAUGCUCUUGGCGCCUGAGAUACCAUGGCUCCACUAUGAGGCAGGAAAGCUAAUCAAAGUGCCACUCAAUACAAUUAAUACUUUUCAUUAAAGAUAUUAAGGAAGUCCAUACCAAAUACACCAUGAAAAUGAAACCAAUAGUUAUUUUCCAGUGUGCCCCUGAUAUGAAUGCACAUUCUGAAUUUUCAGAACACACAUUCUGAAGAGUUCUGAAUCCUGAACAUUUUAAUGUUCUUCUGAAAUUUUACAGUGUUGUACUUUGUCUUUUCUUAUUUUGCUCCACAGCAUUUAAGAAAUAAAGACCAGGACGUUGUUAGGAAGUCUCUUCCGGUGAAGCGUGGAGCUUUGCAGCACAAAAUGUCCAGAUGUUAAUUUUUUUAAUGAGCAAUAAAAUAAAUUUAAAGGAAAUCAUUGGUUAAUGAUUUGCUUUUAUUUAAAUAUAUAUAUUAAAGGACAUUUUGUAGUUCUGGAUUGGGAAAAUAAAGCAUUUUUGUAUUUUUAAUUUGAUGGUAAUAUUCAGUCUUACUGUAAGACAGUGGUUACUGUAUGUGUAAGGGAAUCAUAUCUUCUCAGGCCUGGGGAAAUAAGCCUAAGAAAUAAAUAAAGGGAUUGGUCCUGGGUGCUUAAAUUAAUAUUUGUGAGCCCUGUAAUGUAUUAGUAUACACAUACAAUAACUAAAUUGCCCUUACAGUGGAUGCUUUUUUCUUCCAUUUGAAAAGUCUUACUUAUAUUUUUUUAUAAAAUGCAAAAUUACAUUAGUCUGAAUACAUUUUAAAUAAAAUAAACACAGCAUUGUUAGUAAAACCCAAACAAGGGUUUGAAUUGUGUGAUACCACAGACAGUAGAACAACAUUGUAUUGUGGGCAUUUCCAUGAAUGCUGAUGGCAAAAAUAUAUGUUAUCAGAUACUUUCAGAGAAAAAUUAUCAGGAUCUGAGAAAAUGCUUUAUGGAGAAGCUGUUUCUUAGUCUAUAAUCAUAGCCCAGAGAUCAAAAUUCUGUUGUUUUGUUGGUAUUACUGUAAAUUGCACAUACUGUUGUUUCUAAGUUAGGAGGUUUUUCCAUAAAUGUUCUGUAUUGAGUGUUCCUUGCUCUUUUCUGCGGAAACCUCUCCAGUAGUCCCACUCAAAUGUGAGAAUUUUCUCCACUAUUAGUGGAGUUUCUCCACUUCUAGUUUAAAAAAGUGUGAUACUUACUGUAACACCAAUAGUUUAAAAUGGAUAGUUUCUGUAUUAUUGUCCAUUAUUAGGAUACAGUUGCUUAAAUACUGUACAUUAACCAACAAAGCACCCUCAAUCUGAAGUUUUCUUAUUCUUAUCUCAAUGGGUCACUCUUUGGCUGUGGAGGGGAAAUAUAGUGGUGAUAUGAUAUGUCAACAUUAACAUGCUUAUGCUAUGCUUAUGUUUAAAGGUUUGUGCUUAAUAUGUGUUUAACAAAGUGAGAAGUGGUUUUGCUGAAGCUGGUGUCUAAUGUACAACGUUAGCCUGUAAGCAGAAUUUUAUACCUAACAGAGAUGCCUAUUACAUUAAUAAAAUGAAUUUGGUUUUGGAAGUGGGAUGACAAUUGGAAAUUAAAGAAGACAAUGAAAAAAAAAAAGUAAGCCACCUGAAAAAAAUAAUAAAGAAGGCCACAUUCACCUUUUCUGUGGAGAACUGUAUGGAACAUGCAUAUGAUCAUCCAUGGUGAAAAUUAAAAAGGAACAGUAAAAUAGGCAAUCUCUGAAAGCUUUUCCAGCUUUGCAUUAUUUUUUUUUCUUUUUACUUUUCAGCAUUGAAGUAACCUGUACUUGUUUCUUCACAGCUCCCCUGUCUAAUUAAGCAAUAUGAUAGCAGUAUGGUGUAACUGAUUCAGAGCAGCGAAUGAGACUCCCUAUGACUAGCAGGUUAAUGCAUUUCAGGUUUUAUAAAUGGUUUUCAAAAAAAAUACCUGGAAUGUUUAUGGCCUUUACCUUUUUUUAAGGGUAACUGUACAGAAACAAGUGAAUUUAAUGCUGUUGUAAACAUCACUUUUCUGUUCCAACAGAACAGAAAUAAACCAAAAUAUUGUAAUACUUUCUAUUACUGGGAAAAAACAUUUUCAAUUGGCUUACAGUGCUAUCAGAUAUUGUUUUUUUCAUAUUGUAUUUACUAUGAAAUUUACAAUAAAAAUGCUGCAUUUACAGAAU